CAACUACUCCCUCUGUCCCAAAUUUCUUGUCUUAGAUUUGUAUCUAAUACUAAAAUGUAUCUAGACAAAUCUAAGAGAAGAAUUUUGGGACGGAUGUAUCUAAUACUAAAAUGUGACUUGAUACAUCUGUAUCUAGACAAAUCUAAGAGAAGAAUUUUGGGACGGAGGGAGUACUUU
rfam:Triticum aestivum genome assembly, contig: Triticum_aestivum_CS42_TGACv1_scaffold_423184_5BS